rnacentral:rRNA from 1 species
AAGUGCGAGGGCAUAUUAGCCCUCGCUUUUCUCGACUGUAAGGUGGUCGACGAAUAAGAGCUGGGCAAGACCGGUGCCAGCCGCCGCGGUAAUACCGGCAGCUCAAGUGAUGUCCCAUAUUAUUGGGCCUAAAGCGUCCGUAGCUGGCCGACCAAGUCUCCCGGGAAAUCCACCCGCCCAACGGGUGGGCGUCCGGUAGAAACUGGCCGGCUUGGAACCGGAAGGCUCAGAGAGUACGUCCGGGGUAGGAGUGAAAUCCCGUAAUCCCGGACGGACUACCGAUGGCGAAAGCACUCUGAGAAGACGGCUUCGACAGUGAGGGACGAAAGCUCGGGUCUCAAACCGGAUUAGAUACCCGGGUAGUCCGAGCUGUAAACGAUGCUCGUUAGGUGUGGCACCCACUACGAGUGGGUGCUGCGCCGUAGGGAAGCCGCUAAACGAGCCGCCUGGGAAGUACGUCCGCAAGGAUGAAACUCAAAGGAAAUUGACGGA